rnacentral:rRNA from 1 species
UGGCGGACGGGUGAGUAACGCGUAAAGAACUUGCCCUUUAGACUGGGGAUAACAGAGGGAAACUUCUGAUAAUACUGGAUAAGUUAGUAUAUCGCAUGAUAUGCAAAUGAAAGCUACGGCACUAAAGGAGAGCUUUGCGUCCUAUUAGCUAGUUGGUAAGGUAAGAGCUUACCAAGGCGAUGAUAGGUAGCCGGCCUGAGAGGGUGGACGGCCACAAGGGGACUGAGAUACGGCCCUUACUCCUACGGGAGGCAGCAGCG